rnacentral:rRNA from 1 species
CUUUUGGGUGUGACUGCGUACCUUUUGUAUAAUGGGUCAGCGACUUAUAUUCUGUAGCAAGGUUAACCGAAUAGGGGAGCCGGAGGGAAACCGAGUCUUAAUUGGGCGUUAAGUUGCAGGGUAUAGACCCGAAACCCGGUGAUCUAGCCAUGGGCAGGUUGAAGGUUGGGUAACACUAACUGGAGGACCGAACCGACUAAUGUUGAAAAAUUAGCGGAUGACCUGUGGCUGGGGGUGAAAGGCCAAUCAAACCGGGAGAUAGCUGGUUCUCCCCGAAAGCUAUUUAGGUAGCGCCUCGUGAAUUCAUCUCCGGGGGUAGAGCACUGUUUCGGCUAGGGGGCCAUCCCGGCUUACCAACCCGAUGCAAACUGCGAAUACCGGAGAAUGUUAUCACGGGAGACACACGGCGGGUGCUAACGUCCGUCGUGAAGAGGGAAACAACCCAGACCGCCAGCUAAGGUCCCAAAGUCAUGGUUAAGUGGGAAACGAUGUGGGAAGGCCCAGACAGCCAGGAUGUUGGCUUAGAAGCAGCCAUCAUUUAAAGAAAGCGUAAUAGCUCACUGGUCGAGUCGGCCUGCGCGGAAGAUGUAACGGGGCUAAACCAUGCACCGAAGCUGCGGCAGCGACGCUGAUGCGUUGUUGGGUAGGGGAGCGUUCUGUAAGCCUGCGAAGGUGGCCUGUGAGGGUUGCUGGAGGUAUCAGAAGUGCGAAUGCUGACAUAAGUAACGAUAAAGCGGGUGAAAAGCCCGCUCGCCGGAAGACCAAGGGUUCCUGUCCAACGUUAAUCGGGGCAGGGUGAGUCGACCCCUAAGGCGAGGCCGAAAGGCGUAGUCGAUGGGAAACGGGUUAAUAUUCCCGUACUUGGUGUUACUGCGAAGGGGGGACGGAGAAGGCUAUGUUGGCCGGGCGACGGUUGUCCCGGUUUAAGCGUGUAGGUGUGUGUUCCAGGUAAAUCCGGUUCACUUUAACACUGAGGCGUGACGACGAGGCACUACGGUGCUGAAGCAACAAAUGCCCUGCUUCCAGGAAAAGCCUCUAAGCAUCAGGUAACAUCAAAUCGUACCCCAAACCGACACAGGUGGUCAGGUAGAGAAUACCAAGGCGCUUGAGAGAACUCGGGUGAAGGAACUAGGCAAAAUGGUGCCGUAACUUCGGGAGAAGGCACGCUGACACGUAGGUGAAGUGAUUUACUCACGGAGCUGAAGUCAGUCGAAGAUACCAGCUGGCUGCAACUGUUUAUUAAAAACACAGCACUGUGCAAACACGAAAGUGGACGUAUACGGUGUGACGCCUGCCCGGUGCCGGAAGGUUAAUUGAUGGGGUCAGCGCAAGCGAAGCUCCUGAUCGAAGCCCCGGUAAACGGCGGCCGUAACUAUAACGGUCCUAAGGUAGCGAAAUUCCUUGUCGGGUAAGUUCCGACCUGCACGAAUGGCGUAAUGAUGGCCAGGCUGUCUCCACCCGAGACUCAGUGAAAUUGAACUCGCUGUGAAGAUGCAGUGUACCCGCGGCAAGACGGAAAGACCCCGUGAACCUUUACUAUAGCUUGACACUGAACAUUGAGCCUUGAUGUGUAGGAUAGGUGGGAGGCUUUGAAGCGUGGACGCCAGUCUGCGUGGAGCCGACCUUGAAAUACCACCCUUUAAUGUUUGAUGUUCUAACGUGGACCCGUUACCCGGGUUGCGGACAGUGUCUGGUGGGUAGUUUGACUGGGGCGGUCUCCUCCUAAAGAGUAACGGAGGAGCACGAAGGUUGGCUAAUCCUGGUCGGACAUCAGGAGGUUAGUGCAAUGGCAUAAGCCAGCUUGACUGCGAGCGUGACGGCGCGAGCAGGUGCGAAAGCAGGUCAUAGUGAUCCGGUGGUUCUGAAUGGAAGGGCCAUCGCUCAACGGAUAAAAGGUACUCCGGGGAUAACAGGCUGAUACCGCCCAAGAGUUCAUAUCGACGGCGGUGUUUGGCACCUCGAUGUCGGCUCAUCACAUCCUGGGGCUGAAGUAGGUCCCAAGGGUAUGGCUGUUCGCCAUUUAAAGUGGUACGCGAGCUGGGUUUAGAACGUCGUGAGACAGUUCGGUCCCUAUCUGCCGUGGGCGCUGGAGAACUGAGGGGGGCUGCUCCUAGUACGAGAGGACCGGAGUGGACGCAUCACUGGUGUUCGGGUUGUCAUGCCAAUGGCACUGCCCGGUAGCUAAAUGCGGAAGAGAUAAGUGCUGAAAGCAUCUAAGCACGAAACUUGCCCCGAG